rnacentral:rRNA from 1 species
UACAGAGGGUGCAAGCAUUGUUCGGAAUUAUUGGGCGUAAAGAGCUCGUAGGCGGUCUGUCGCGUCGGCUGUGAAAACCCGGGGCUCAACCCCGGGCCUGCAGUCGAUACGGGCAGACUAGAGUGCGGUAGGGGAGACUGGAAUUCCUGGUGUAGCGGUGAAAUGCGCAGAUAUCAGGAGGAACACCGGUGGCGAAGGCGGGUCUCUGGGCAGUAACUGACGCUGAGGAGCGAAAGCGUGGGGAGCGAACAGG